rnacentral:rRNA from 1 species
UGGUGGAGUGAUUUGUCUGGUUAAUUCCGAUAACGAACGAGACCUUAACCUGCUAAAUAGCCAGGCCGUCUUUGGAUGGUCGCCGGCUUCUUAGAGGGACUGUCAGUGUCUAACUGACGGAAGUUUGAGGCAAUAACA